AGAGGCCUAUGAUGAUCUAAAGAAUUGCCUACAUUGUCAGAUUAUUUCUCAUGAUAGAGUAACCUAAAUUAUUUCCGAGGCCUCG